ensembl:snRNA U6 U6 spliceosomal RNA
GUGCUCGCUUCGGCAGCACAUAUACUAAAAUUAGAAUGAUACAGAGAUUAGCAUGGCCCCUGUGCAAGGAUGACAUGCAAAACAAUAAUAAGGAAAAAUUAAAA